rnacentral:rRNA from 1 species
CGUACGGCUCAGUAACACGUGGCUAACCUACCCUCAGGACAGGGGCAACCCCGGGAAACUGGGGCUAAUACCAGAUAGGUGAGGAUGCCUGGAAUGGUUUCUCACUCAAAGGGCUUUGGAAACAUGCUUCCACUGUCGCCUGGGGAUGGGGCCGCGACCGAUCAGGUUGUUGGUGAGGUAAUGGCCCACCAAGCCUUUAACCGGUACGGGCCGUGAGAGCGGUGGCCCGGAGAUGGGUACUGAGACAAGGAUCCAGGCCCUACGGGGCGCAGCAGUCGCGAAACCUCCGCAAUGCACGAAAGUGUGACGGGGCUACCCCGAGUGCCGUCCGCUGAGGAUGGCUUUUCCUUGGUGUAACUAGCCGAGGGAAUAAGGAGAGGGCAAGACUGGUGUCAGCCGCCGCGGUAAUACCAGCUCUCCGAGUGGUAGGGAUGAUUAUUUGGCUUAAAGCGUCCGUAGCUGGCUUAGCAAGUCUCCUGUUAAAUUCAGCGACCUAAUCGUUGAGCCGCGGGAGAUACUACUAGGCUAGGAGGCGGGAGAGGUCGACGGUACUUCUGGGGUAGGGGUGAAAUCCUAUAAUCCCGGGAGGACCACCAGUGGCGAAGGCUGUUGACUAGAACGCGCUCGACAGUGAGGGACGAAAGCUGGGGGAGCAAACCGGAUUAGAUACCCGGGUAGUCCCAGCUGUAAACGAUGCGGGCUGGGUGUUGGGGUGGCUACGUGCCACUUCAGUGCCGCAGGGAAGCCAUU